GCAAGUCGAACGAAGUAGCAAUACUUAGUGGCAGACGGGUGAGUAACAUGUAGGUAUCUGCCCUUUGGCCUGGAAUAACACGAGGAAACUUGUGCUAAUACCGGAUAAGUCUUUACGGAGAAAGCUUUAUGCACCAUUGGAUGAGCCUGCACUUGAUUAGUUUGUUGGUGGGGUAAUGGCCUACCAAGACUGUGAUCAAUAGCUGAUUUGAGAGGAUGAUCAGCCACAUUGGGACUGAGACACGGCCCAAACUCCUACGGGAGGCAGCAGUGGGGAAUCUUGCACAAUGGAGGAAACUCUGAUGCAGCGAUGCCGCGUGAGUGAAGAAGGCCCUUGGGUUGUAAAGCUCUUUCGUCGGGGAAGAAAAUGACUGUACCCGAAUAAGAAGGUCCGGCUAACUUCGUGCCAGCAGCCGCGGUAAUACGAAGGGACCUAGCGUAGUUCGGAAUUACUGGGCUUAAAGAGUUCGUAGGUGGUUGAAAAAGUUAGUGGUGAAAUCCCAGAGCUUAACUCUGGAACUGCCAUUAAAACUUUUCAGCUAGAGUAUGAUAGAGGAAAGCAGAAUUUCUAGUGUAGAGGUGAAAUUCGUAGAUAUUAGAAAGAAUACCAAUUGCGAAGGCAGCUUUCUGGAUCAUUACUGACACUGAGGAACGAAAGCAUGGGUAGCGAAGAGGAUUAGAUACCCUCGUAGUCCAUGCCGUAAACGAUGUGUGUUAGACGUUGGAAAUUUAUUUUCAGUGUCGCAGCGAAAGCGAUAAACACACCGCCUGGGGAGUACGACCGCAAGGUUAAAACUCAAAUGAAUUGACGGGGACCCGCACAAGUAGUGGAGCAUGUGGUUUAAUUCGAAGAUACGCGCAGAACCUUACCAACACUUGACAUGUUCGUCGCGACUCUAAGAGAUUAGAGUUUUCGGUUCGGCCGGACGAAACACAGGUGCUGCAUGGCUGUCGUCAGCUCGUGUCGUGAGAUGUUGGGUUAAGUCCCGCAACGAGCGCAACCCUCACUUUUAGUUGCCAUCAUUAAGUUGGGCACUCUGAAAGAACUGCCAGUGAUAAGCUGGAGGAAGGUGGGGAUGACGUCAAGUCCUCAUGGCCCUUACGUGUUGGGCUACACACGUGCUACAAUGGUAUCUACAACAGGAAGCAAGACUGCGAAGUUAAGCAAAUCCCUAAAAGAUACCUCAGUUCGGAUUGCACUCUGCAACUCGAGUGCAUGAAGCUGGAAUUACUAGUAAUCGUGGAUCAGCGUGCCACGGUGAAUGCGUUCCCGGGUCUUGUACACACCGCCCGUCACACCAUGGGAGUUGGUUCUACCUUAAG
rnacentral:rRNA from 1 species